rnacentral:rRNA from 1 species
CCUACGGGUGGCAGCAGUGGGGAAUAUUGCACAAUGGGCGAAAGCCUGAUGCAGCAACGCCGCGUGAGCGAUGAAGGCCUUCGGGUCGUAAAGCUCUGUCCUCAAGGAAGAUAAUGACGGUACUUGAGGAGGAAGCCCCGGCUAACUACGUGCCAGCAGCCGCGGUAAUACGGAGGAUGCGAGCGUUAUCCGGAUUUAUUGGGUUUAAAGGGUGCGUAGGCGGACUGUUAAGUCAGCGGUAAAAGCCCGGGGCUCAACCCCGGCGAGCCGUUGAAACUGGCUGUCUUGAGAUGUCGAGAGGUAUGCGGAAUGCGCAGUGUAGCGGUGAAAUGCUUAGAUAGUGCGCAGAACUCCGAUUGCGAAGGCAGCAUACCGGCGGCGAUCUGACGCUGAGGCACGAAAGCGUGGGUAUCGAACAGGAUUAGAUACCCUGGUAGUC